rnacentral:misc_RNA from 1 species
CUAGCCGCCACUCUCUCUUCUCCUUUUCUCUCCCACGCACGCACUCUCUCCUGUCUCCUCCCUCACGGCGGCAACAGCCACCAGGAAGCUCCUCCACGCCAUGGUUGUGGGCUCCCAUGGCGAGCAGCUUUCCUGCCCAUGGCGCCCUUCCUCCUCGGCUCAAUGGUGUGGCCGAGCAGCAGCCCCCAGCUCUCCUCUCUCCAUGGCGCAGGGAGCAGUUCCCCUGGCCGAGCUCCAUUCCAGCAGGGACGCCCAGGUCCCGACGGCCCCUGCGCAGCUCCUCCUCGCGGCCACCAUGGUGCUCGACGCCUCUCCCCUUCAAGUGCAGCAGCUCCAUUCCUCUCCUUCCCAUGGCGCCCCCAUUCCUUCCAUGGAAAAACCAGCAGCCACCCCUCUGUUGCUGCCGAGCUCCAGCUCCGGCCAGCAGCCAUGGCGCCGAGGAUUCCCUGCGCGCGAGCACAAGCCCCAUUUCUUCUACCUCUGUCCGCGCCCAGCAGCAUCCCUGCGCAGCGCCGCUGCUCCAUCUCCUCCCCAUAUUCCCCACCAAACAGCACCCGCAGCGAGUCGCCGUCGCCCAUGGCCGAGCCCCCUUCCUCCCCGGCCGCCUAGCACACUGUCCAGGGCGCCCAGAAAUCCCAGCAGCGAGCUCCACCGCCGACCUGCGCAGCAAGCUGCGCGCUGCAGCAGCAUGCCGUGUGUUCGCUGUUUUGCGCAGCCCCAUCCGCGACGCCGUCGAAACCCGUGCUAGCCGUCAAUCGCCAUUCGUCGCGCACGCGUGUUCGAUACAAGACCGGUCGGGUGCACCACGUGCUUGCACAAGUCAACUCCGAUCCCGUUCAGGACCGAGAGAUGGUGAUCGUGCACGUGAUAUGGUGCCAACCACAGGAUGCCGUUGGUGGACGACCCAAGGAAGGAUGGACUUAACCACUGGAUGCUAGCCAAGCGAGUACCCACCCCAGCAAACACUAUCUAAGUGUCAAAAUAAAGGUGGUGGACUUCCAGAUCGUACUUAGGGCUUUGUCCAAUUUCCUGGUGAAGGCAAGUAAAAUAGUGAUGGUUUAUACCGUUGGUCGAUUUAUGUGUCCUGUACUUGAUUCAUAUCCAUGUCAAAUGUGCUCAUCCUCAUAUUCCAUUUUGAGAAUUGUUAGUUGAAGUUAUUCAUGAUCUACUAUUUACAUAUGUUGAGGGUGUUGUUCGAGUAUGUUACACGUGUUGAUUAUUAUUUUGAAGUAGUGGAAGUAUAUAUUUAGCACAUGUUAGAUGGGGCGGUCUCAUGUUGGUGUCAUGCAUAGUGCAUCCAUCAUCCUUUGCAUGGAAGUUUCGUCGCGAUCAUAUGGUCCGACCGUACCGGUACAAUAAGCAUCAUAUGUUGCCCGAGGAGGGGUAUGAUGCAGCUUCAUAUCCUUAGAGGUAUGAAGACAGAAGUCAUUAUUGCAUUUGUAGCCAUGUGCACUCAUGGGUAAAACGUGGAACCUGUCAUGGUUAUUGUUGGGGGCCUUCAUUUUCCGAAGGUCCUCAAAAACACGACUAACAUGUUUUCCAAGUAUAAUAUGUGUACAGGAACCUUCGGACAUGGGAUGAAAUUGUACAAGAUAUGAAGGGCGCGGUUCGGGAGAAGGAUAAACCAGUGCCGAAGCUACCCGUGAAAAAGCUUCGGCUUAGCGAUGGAAAGUGAAACCGACUUAAAGGGGAAAAGGAUGUCUAGUCCUCGAUAGAUUAUCCCAAAGUCAAUAGUAAAUGUCAAGGGCAUGAAUGUAAUUCUACAUAGGCUACGUCCUGUGCCUAUAAAUAGAUGAACAGUGACACCGUACUGUUCACGCUGACUUGUAUUCACUCGCAUGUCACGCCCGGAUUUUUGCCUUCUGUCAAACCGAAGGUAUAAAUGUAACUCAAUAUUAUUCAUGAUGAUAUAAAA